rnacentral:rRNA from 1 species
GGGUGAGUAACACGUGGAUAACCUACCUAUAAGACUGGGAUAACUUCGGGAAACCGUAGCUAAUACCGGAUAAUAUUUUGAACCGCAUGGUUCAAAAGUGAAAGACGGUCUUGCUGUCACUUAUAGAUGGAUCCGCGCUGCAUUAGCUAGUUGGUAAGGUAACGGCUUACCAAGGCAACGAUGCAUAGCCGACCUGAGAGGGUGAUCGGCCACACUGGAACUGAGACACGGCCCAG